rnacentral:rRNA from 1 species
UACAGGGGGGGCAAGCGUUGUUCGGAAUUACUGGGCGUAAAGGGCCAGUAGGCGGCCAACUAAGUCACACGUGAAAUCCCCAGGCUUAACCUGGGAACUGCGUGUGAUACUGGAUGGCUUGAAUUCGGGAGAGGGAUGCAGAAUUCCAGGUGUAGCGGUGAAAUGCGUAGAUAUCUGGAGGAACACCGGUGGCGAAGGCGGCAUUCUGGACCGACAUUGACGCUGAGGAGCGAAAGCCAGGGGAGCAAACGGG